ACUCUUUUAGUAUAACCAGUACAAUUGACUUCCAAUCAAUCAGUUUUGACAGUAUUCAAAAAGGAGUA
rnacentral:tRNA from 1 species